rnacentral:rRNA from 1 species
AGAGGGUGCGAGCGUUGUUCGGAAUUACUGGGCGUAAAGCGCGCGCAGGCGGCCCUUUAAGUCCGUCGGUCAAAUGCCGGGGCUCAACCCCGAGCGUGCCGAGGAUACUGGAGGGCUGGAGACACGUAGAGGCAAGCGGAAUUCCGGGUGUAGCGGUGGAAUGCGUAGAGAUCCGGAAGAACACCGGAGGCGAAGGCGGCUUGCUGGGCGUGAUCUGACGCUGAGGCGCGAAAGCGUGGGGAGCGAACAGGAUUAGAUACCCUGGUAGUCCACGCCGUAAACGAUGGGCACUAGACGCUGGUGGGAUCGACCCCUUCGGUGUCGCAGCUAACGCGAUAAGUGCCCCGCCUGGGGAGUACGGCCGCAAGGCUG